AGAGUUUGAUCCUGGCUCAGAACGAACGCUGGCGGCGUGCCUAACACAUGCAAGUCCGACGUGAAAGGGGAGCAAUCCCCCGGUAGGGUGGCAAACGGGUGAGUAAGACAUGGGUGAUCUGCCCUGGAGAUGGGGAUAUCCCUCCGAAAGGGGGGGCAAUACCGAAUAGUGUCCGGUUCCGUGAAGGGGACCGGGGAAAGGGAGGCCUCUGGUACAAGCUUCCGCUCCUGGAUGAGCCCAUGGCCCAUCAGCUAGUUGGUAGGGUAAAGGCCUACCAAGGCGACGACGGGUAGCUGGUCUGAGAGGACAACCAGCCACACUGGCACUGAGACACGGGCCAGACUCCUACGGGAGGCAGCAGUGAGGAAUAUUGCGCAAUGGGGGCAACCCUGACGCAGCAACGCCGCGUGUGGGAAGAAGGCUUUCGGGUUGUAAACCACUUUUGCCCGGGACGAAAGGGAGUGCCCGAAUACGGCAGUCCGAUGACGGUACCGGGAGAAUAAGCCACGGCUAACUCUGUGCCAGCAGCCGCGGUAAGACAGAGGUGGCAAGCGUUGUUCGGAGUUACUGGGCGUAAAGAGUCUGUAGGUGGUCUGUCAAGUCUUUGGUGAAAGGCCGUGGCUUAACCAUGGGAAUGCCAAAGAGACUGGCAGACUGGAGGCUGGGAGAGGGAAGCGGAAUUUCUGGUGUAGCGGUGAAAUGCGUAGAUAUCAGAAGGAAGGCCGGUGGCGAAGGCGGCUUCCUGGAACAGACCUGACACUGAGAGACGAAAGCGUGGGGAGCAAACAGGAUUAGAUACCCUGGUAGUCCACGCCCUAAACGAUGGGUACUAAGUGUGGGAGGGUUAAACCUCCCGUGCCGCAGCCAACG
rnacentral:rRNA from 1 species